CCACUACACAGGGCAGAGCAGCCUUCCGUGUGCAUGCAUCGUGGAGAAAUGAGCAGUGGAGACUCCAACACCAGAGCCCCUCAAGUUCCAGCAAACCCACAGUUCUUCUUGAUCCAGAGAUGUGCCAGACCCAGAGCACCACCUGCACCUGCUGGUGACCAGGAAUUACCUCUACGUCUGCCAUUCCCAGUUGGCGAUAGGCAGCAUCAAAUACAAGCCAUAGGGGGCUGCCAACAGUGUGAGAUGUUACAGAAGGAAAUAGAUGAACUCAAGGAACAACUCGCAAUCAUGCAAGUCUUCAAAGAAAAGUUCCAGGAUCCUUGAAGUUGGACUCAAGAGUUUCUCCCCACAGAAGAGGCCAAACUACCACCUGUGGAUCCUGCUUCCUUCCAGUUUUCUUCGACAGCAGUGGUUCCCACCUUCCUAAUGCUAUGGCCUGCUCAUGGGCUUCAUUUUGUGAUGUUAACCCUCUACCAUAAAGCUAUUUCAUUGUUACUUCAC
rnacentral:lncRNA from 1 species